rnacentral:lncRNA from 10 species
CGUUUCUGGUGGCUCUGCUGGCCAUUUAGAAGCACGUGGGAAUGGCACGGCUCGGCCUUCCUUUUUGCUCAGAAGAGAAGUUUGGGUUGACUUUAAGCAUUUGGCCCAAGUUCCUAACUUGGAAUUAACGACCAUGGGCAGAGUUCCACGUGAAUUUCUCAACUGGACAAGUGGAACACAAGGACCCGAAUUUUCUCUUCCCCUCAGAUCGUCCAUAGGUGAGAUGUAUGUGAACAGUGGUGGAGAAUGGAAGCCUUCACUGUUUUGUUUAUGUUUACCAGCAAAUUAUUACGGUUUGUAGGAAGAGCUCCCUCCUCCCUCGCCCCCCAAAUAGGAAUGAGUUUGAACUGAGGGUCAGGAAGAGGUAAGUGGCAGGUUCGUUGGAGAGCUGCAGAGGGGCCUAGUUCUCACAGCACACUGGCAUCUCUCAGGAUUGGGUAGCUAUGGAGCCAGGCCAGUUCACACAAGAGUUAAUAUUAGUUCCAUCUGGGAUGUUCUACAGCAGGGACAGAUAGCUUUACAGUGGCAGUUAUUGAAAUUUCCUAAUUUAGUGCUCUUGAUCAAAUUGCUGACAACAUACAGUUUUUCAUUAUCAUAGUUAUUAGAGUUUUAGGAGAGGCAUUUAUUGAGGAUGAGUGUUUUAAAUAACACCUCACUGGUAAUGAAUAUUCUUAGGUUUUCUAUGCAGGCUGUAAAGUUGUUUUAUGCCAUGAGGUUUUAUGCCAUGAGGGUGUGGAGAGAAUGGUUUAAGAGUUGGAGAGGAGAGCAACUGUGUGCCAGAACCUUCCAUCUGGGUGGGUGAGAGUGCUUUUGGGAACCUGUCCAUAUUCUUAGCACAGAUCAUGUCUUGCCCAAAGCGCUCAGAAACAACUAGUUGAAUUUGGACAUGGUGGCACGCGCCUAUAGUCCCAGCUACUCAGGAGGCUGAGGCAGGAGGAUGGCUUGAGUCCAGGAGUUCGAGGCUGCAAGUGAGCUGUGAAUCUGCCACUGCACUCCAGUCUGGAGACCCCGUCCCUUAAAAAAAACCUUACUUCUUUAUGUCAUCUUGACAGACACCAAGAAUUCUUGUGUAUUGGAACGCAGAAUUCAGGGAUGGGGCAAUAACAAUUGCAAGCUAGUCCAUGAAAGUAGGGUGGAGACAUGUGCAUGCCCUGGGUCCAGCUGAGUCUGAAGCCCAGGUGUGAUUAAUUGGCAAUGUAGCGUUCACUUUGUGAACUGCAAGGUUCUUUUCACAUUCCUUUAAUUUGUAAUUUUGUUAUAGACGUGGAAAGCAUGGUAUUUAAUUUCAGAUGCCACUUUUAUAGUUAUAUCAGUUCGACAUUAACAAGGGUUCAUUUGGUAAUCACACAAAAAGAUGGGCUUAGUUACCAUCUUUCUGGAGCCUACAAAUUGGGACAUUUUGCAUGGGAGCAAGAGCAAACAGCCUGCCUUUUUCGUAUUCCAAGUUCUUGAUUCCAGAAGACAUACUGCAUUCCUUCCUGUUCAAUAGAGUGACAAAAAGGGUAACUUCGCACAGACCCUAAUGAAGCUGGUAUCUGGCUGGUGAGUGGAAAUAUAUCUGGAGGUCACACUAGAUUAGUAAAUACCAUCCAGACUUGUCACUUGCACAUCAUGAAUGACUAUCAUCAGCAUGGGGAAGAUUGGGGUGCUCAUCCAUCCCAGGGCCCCCUGUAAAAAAUCAUAGGUGACUGUGUUCAGCCAGUGACUGGCUGGGAUGGAGUCCGGGCAGUCCCGAGGCAGCAAAACCCCUUAAGAGCUCACUAGCCUCCAUUCCUUAGCUGUUUGGCCAAUCUCUGGUGCCUAUGAGUUGGAGCUCACAGGUGGACCAAAGGCAGAUCAGGCGGGCCUGAGAGCCAUGCUGGCGUGGCCUUCUAAGCCUGGGCCCAGGAAAGCGUUUGGCCUCUACAGUUACGUAAGUUGGAAGGCAGUGGACACAACCUACGUUUGGUGGCUAGGCUCUUCUGCAGGCAGGCUGUGAGAGCUUCACUGCGGGUCAUCUCAGUACCCAGC